UCUCACGAAAGUCCAUCACUGGCAGACAGUGUGGCAUUGCUAGACCUUAUCCCAUUUAAUUUUUACUUAUUUCCUACAUUGAAAAUCGUUCAAAAACAACGAAGAAUUUAUAGAAUCGGUUUAUUCGCGAUAACGUUGUCGCGUGAAUUACAUUCAUGUUAGAUUAAAGUAGUCGUAAAAAUAGGUUAAAAAAACUACAAAAUAAUGCAUAUUUCAAGCCCACGUGAAGCCACACAAUCAGCAAAUACUAAAUCAGUAAACGAACUUCGUCAUAAUCAAGAAUUAAACAAUCCAUGUCUAAAGGAACAUAAUCUUAGUUUGAAGUGCCUUGAUAUUAAUGAUUACAAACAUGAAAAAUGCGAAGCGUACUUUGCAAAUUACAAAGUCUGCAAAGCAUUUUGGAGACAGAUAAGAAUUGAUCGUAAACAACGUGGUAUUGUUCCAAACCUUCCAUUACCUGAGGAUAGAGACAAAGUGAAAACAGAAUACCUUAACUCUAGAAAAAAAUAAUAUUUCUACAUCUUAUAUGCAUGUAUUCAACAAAUGUGCAAUUUAUAUUUGAUUUUACAUACACAGGAAGUGUGAAGUAUCAUCUGUUAGAGAGAAUACAGUUACAAAUAAAUUAGGUCUAAAGCUAUUUUUCAUGCUUCUCAAUUGUAUCAACAAUGAUUGUGCAUUAAAAAUAAGUAAAUAAAGGAUAGAC